GAAAAUUUCGCAAGAGAAUUUUCAGGGAUCAAUGUGAAUCAUGUUCCAGCUCAGCCUGGUAGCCCCAGUGUUAACCCUGGGAUAGUGAAAGGUGCUGAUGUUGAACCAGAAGCUUCUUCGGGAUCAAACAUUCCGAUGAAAGAUGACCUGGUGGUUGGUGAAGUUGAGCCUGUUGUUCCUAACACUGUUGUGCCUAACACUCUUACUCCAUCUUCAUCUUCGUCAUCAUUCAACAUAAUCGAGUUCCCAAAUAUGCCUACUACUGUUGAGGCCUUGGGUGGCGGUUCCUCAUCUGCAAAGAACAUCCCCGUUCCUCUACAAGAGGAUAUUGAGAAGAAUGACGUCGAGAUAACCAUGCUCAAGGAGCUGGAGGAGAUGGGUUUCAAAGAGAUUGAUCUGAACAAGGAAAUCCUGAGGGACAACGAGUACAACUUGGAGCAGUCUGUUGACGCUCUCUGUGGAGUUAAAGAGUGGGAUCCUAUCCUAGAGGAGCUUCAGGAAAUGGUAAGUGUGAAUUGAAGAUUGGAAAACCAGAUUGAGAGGGAUGUUUGACAAUGUGAUAAUUUCUGCAGGGGUUCUGUGAUGAUCUGACGAACAAGAGGCUGCUGAAGAAGAACAAUGGAAGCAUUAAAGGCGUGGUGAUGGAUCUUCUCACUGGGGAGAAGGAGAAGGAGGCUUAGUGUGGCGUUCGAUUCUGGGAGAACUUUUAUCUAUAUCAGGACAAAGGUUAUGUUUUAUAAAUAAUAAAAACCUGAUGAUGAUGUAGUGUGGUUUCGAACUUUGGUGUGUUCCUUUGCUUCUUUCUUUCGUGUUGGAUGUGGAUGAUAUGAUGUUACUACUAAUCUUAAAUAAGUAUAAGACUUUAUUUAUGCUAUCAUCAAUCUUCUUAUUUUGAAUGCAACCGUGUCUUUGUUAUCGAUUUCAUUCACUUGACCGCCCUCUCCUCCAUGUCCAGUUGAUUACAUUUUUGCUUUUGAUUCUUACAUGCAAUUUAUAUUAUUCCUGAACGUAGUGAUUCAUUCACCUGCACGACUUUAUCUUUAUGAAAAAACUGCUGGCAACCAAAUGAGUAAAUUGAAGAUAAUCAAUAUGGAAUUCACUUUCUUUUCUACGUUUACAAGUUUGAAGGAGUAAGUAAUUGCAUCUUGACUUUGUUUAAAAUCUCCUGGACGAACGAUUAAACAAACUCCUAAGGCUAUUUCUGCUGUCCCUAUUUUUCUUCUUGAUGGCCUUAUCCGCAGAGAAAGUAUGCUCUUCCAAAGUGAGUGCCCGUUCCAGUUUCUUAGAUACAGAAAGAAUCUCGUACGGAUCCCACAAGGACUGUCCAUACUCCCAAUCCAAGAACGAAGGAUGAUGAUGGUGAUGCUUCUUUGUACUGGACAAGGCCUCCAUUUUGAAACGUGAAGGUUUACCUUUGACAAAAGCAUGCUUUCUCCGCGCUUCGAACUCCAAAACUGUGCUUUUAGAGGUUUGGGAGUGGCUGAGCCAAGCCUGUGCUGCUGCUUUCAUCAGCUCCACUCUCUUCUUCUCUUCUUCGUUUUCAUCUUUAGCCUCUCGUUUCUUCCUCAUCUGUUUCCUUCUCCAUUUGGGAGGGGACUUUUGGGGCUCUAAGCUAUUAUUAUGGACCCAAUUUUAUGUCAGCUUUAAAUGGCAGCCUUAUGUUUCUUGUCCGAAUCUGCUAACUUCUGUCCGUCUCAUCCUUUUCCAUUUAUUUCUUUUUAAUUUUUUCAAUACAUUUGUUGUAUAAUAAAAGGUGGGAGAUGACUUAGAAUGUAAUAAAAAGAUGAAAAGUAUUUUAGAGUGAAAAUAACUCAGGGAAAAAUGCCAAUUUCGAUCCCAACUAUUUCAGUCGUGCCAAAUACGACCCGAACAAUUGAUCAGUGCCAAAUACGACAUCAACUCAAUUAUAAUUCAAAAAAACUACCAGAACUUCUUAAAACGUGCCUAAAUCUACAUUGACUCUAACAGAAGUUAGUCAACCGUUAAAAAAUAAAACGAUGUCGUUUUGAUAUACGAGGAAAAGUGUCAAUUUCGACCCAAACACUCUCAGUCGUGCCAAAUAAGACCCGAACAAAUGGUCAGUGCCAAAAACGACCUCAACUCAAUUAUAUUUUAAGAAAAAUUACCCAAUUUUUUUAAAACGUGUUUAAAUCUACAUUAACUCUAACAGAAGUUAAUCAACCUUUAACAAAGAUAAGACGACGUUGUUUUGAUAUAUGUAUUUUCUUAAAAAAAUAUGUUCAUUUUGGGAUUCAAAUCCGUGCUGGGAUAUCCUUUUAAAGGGGCACACUAACAACUAGACUAAAAUAAUUUUUUGAAAUAUUAUUACAAAUUGAAAUUCUCCAUUAUAUAAACUACUAUUCUUCUUCAUCUUAUCCAAUUUAAAACUUUGGUGAUUGCUUUAUACAUUUUAGUUAUUGUUUAAUUUGUCUAAUAUUUUGUACAACAUAUCUUAGUGAAAGAAAGGUAAAAGGCCUCUUAACAUUUUUGAACAAAAUAUCAAAAUAUAUAAUAUCAACUUUGAAAACUAAAAAAAUUCCCACUUAAUUUUAAAAAUUAAAAAUAAUUUAUAUAAGAAAAUUGUAUAAAUAAAUUCAAAGUUGUAAGCAUAUUUAAGAUCGUAUAAUAAUAAAUAUUUUAUUAUUUAUAUUUUAGUAAGAUAUAAUUUUAUUAAAGAUAUGAUAAAUAAGAAAAACACGUUAAUGUAUUUAUAUAAAUCAGAAAAAAUUGUCACCAAAAUUUUAAAUUGGAUAAGAUGAAGAAUAAUAAUAGUUUAUAUAAUUUCAAAUUUGUAAUAGUAUUUUAUCUAUUAUCUUCUAGAAGCACAAACCCUAAGAAAUAUUUAAAAAAUGUAUUUAUUUUACCCAAAUUCAUAUUUUUUCUCCCAUAUGGUGCUUAAUCGUGAUCCCUAAUCUUGUUUUGUUCUUUUAAUUUGUUUAUUUGCAUGUUGUUUGAUUCAUUUUAAGUGAGCUUUGUGUUCAUUGCAGGUGAGUUAUGGAGGUGUGCUUAGGCGCUUCAGGGUGCCUUUCAAAGCUAAUGGACAGCUUGAUCUUGACAUGGCUUCUCUUAGGGGAAAGAUUGCUGCUUUGUUUAACCUCCCUCUGGAUGCUGAGUUCUCUCUCACUUACUCUGAUGAAGAUGGGGAUGUGGUGGCCCUUGUUGAUGACAACGACCUCUUCGAUGUCACGAAUCAGCGUCUUAAGUUCUUGAAGAUUACUGUGCAGUCGAACGCUGGUGUGCCGACCAACUCUGUUGCUCCAGAGAGCAGUGGGAGUUCGUCAGCCUCGGUUAUGCCUGAUAGCCAGGACCCGGUUUCUAAGAUCCAGAAGGGUUUCAAUGAUGUUAUGAUGGCUGUGCCGAACCACAUGCGUGAUACCAUUUCCAAGGUGUAUAUUGACCUUACAUCUAAGGCGGCGUCUUCGAGCCCUGUGGUUGGUGAGCUGUUUGAUUGCAUCAACAAGCUAGGGAAGCUCUCAAGCCCUCAGGAAAGUAGUCCUUGCUCUCCUGUUACUAAGCCUGGCUCGUCAGGGCCUUCUUUGAGCAGGGAGGUUCCUUCCGCUGGUGAAAAGAAGGAUGUAUCUAAGAAGACCCAAGCUGGAAAAAAACCUGUUGCUGAUUCAACCUCCUCUGGACUUGGUGCUAGUUUCAACGAGUGUCCCUUCAGUGGCAGUACCGUGAUUGAUUCCACUCCAAAUCCAAAUCCAACGAAUCUCAACAGGCAUGCCCGUCGUGUAUGUCACUCCAAAAAGACCAACAAUGGUGAUUACUGGAACUCACUGGGUGUCUUCCAUAAGGGUAUCCGUUGUGAUGGAUGUGGAGUUCUUCCAAUAACUGGGCCUAGAUUCAAGUCUAAAGUGUAAGGAGAUCUCUUACUUGCAAAUGUAGAAACUGCAGAUACAUCUUUCGAGUUUAUUAUGCUUACUUGUUUCUCUGGUGAAUAUUUUGCAGCAAAGAAGACUAUGAUCUUUGCACCAUCUGUUUUUCCGUGAUGGGCAAUGAAGGGGAUUAUACAAGAAUGGAUAAGCCCGUCUCAGCUCAACAGCUACAUCCCUUCAGAGGACUUCCUACCCCAGUAUUACUCUUUUUCUGUGUUUAAGUUUCCUUUUCUUCUAUACCUUUUCUUUCUGUAUUUACAGCUAUAUGGAGAUCUUACGUUUCUUCCUUUCUUUCAUAUAGUUUUCAAAUCCUUGGUUGGGACAUGUGCCGCGACCACACCACGGAGGUUUACAUUUCAGGUGUACUCGGCCUAAGCUAGACAGUCGCUUUGUCCUUGAUGUCAAUGUACUUGAUGGAACCGUUGUUGCUCCAUCUGCCCCAUUCACCAAGAUCUGGAAAAUGAGGAACAAUGGUUCGCUGGUGUGGCCACAUGGCACGCAGAUCGUUUGGAUCGGUGGGGACAGAUUCAGCAGCUCUUUGUCAGUUGAUUUACAGGUUAGAAACUAUAUCCUUAGUUUUGCCAUUUAUUUUGCUUGAUACCUACCCUGAAGUUCCACUUACAGAUCAAUCAUGAUGUUUGAAGUUGCUCUUAGUGGCUUGAGUUAGCUUCUUCUCUACAGAAAGUGGCAAUAGUUUCUUUAUAUAUAUAUACAACACUAAUUUUUUAUUGGUGUCAGCAGAUUCCAGUGGAGGGUGUGCCUAUCAACAGUGAGCUUGACGUGAAAGUUGAAUUUGUUGCACCAGAGUCACCUGGCCGAUACAUAUCUUAUUGGAGGAUGGCUUCCUCUAAUGGUGCCAAGUUUGGGCAACGUGUUUGGGUGUUGAUACAUGUACUGGCUAGAUCUCUGCUGCCAUUUUCCUGGAAUUUUGUUUUUCUCAAUCAUCUGAUUUUUUUUUUUUUGCUGGUUGCGUGGUCAGGUUGAUGCAUCCUUGAAGGGCUCUGUUGUGAACGAGUUUCAUGGACUGAACUUGAAUGCCUCUCCUGAAGAAAAUUUCGCAAGAGAAUUUUCAGGGAUCAAUGUGAAUCAUGUUCCAGCUCAGCCUGGUAGCCCCAGUGUUAACCCUGGGAUAGUGAAAGGUGCUGAUGUUGAACCAGAAGCUUCUUCGGGAUCAAACAUUCCGAUGAAAGAUGACCUGGUGGUUGGUGAAGUUGAGCCUGUUGUUCCUAACACUGUUGUGCCUAACACUCUUACUCCAUCUUCAUCUUCGUCAUCAUUCAACAUAAUCGAGUUCCCAAAUAUGCCUACUACUGUUGAGGCCUUGGGUGGCGGUUCCUCAUCUGC
rnacentral:lncRNA from 1 species